rfam:Aspergillus carbonarius ITEM 5010 unplaced genomic scaffold ASPCAscaffold_5, whole genome shotgun sequence.
CCCGGACUAGCUCAAUUGGCAGAGCGCACGAUUGGAUUUGUCUCACCGUGAGGUCGCAAGUUCGAUUCUUGCGUCUGGGC